rnacentral:lncRNA from 1 species
UUUUAUCACAUAUGGAAAUAUCUCAUCAAAUAAUAUCAGGGAAAAGAAGUGUAGCAUCGUCAAUCAUAUACAAGAGAAAAGGAAAAUAAUCAUCCUAUGGAUCCCUAGAAACAAUCAUCUAAAGCUCGGGACACAGGAAGAUAAGAUGCGCGAAGCCUCUUCACCUCCCUCUCGUAGGCUGCCUCCAUAUCGGCCUUCUCUUUGGCGAGUCGAUCAUACCUCCUCUUCCAGAACUUAGAAGACUGAGGAAGUAGAGAAGUCCAUACAUCAUCAGGGUCAUCAAUAACCUGAUGCUCAAGAAACUCAAUC